UGUCAACAAUAUUUGAGGAAAAAACAGAUAGAGAAAAAAAAAAAAAACACGUGUACAUAAUUUUGUAUAGGACAAUUUGUGUAUUUACCAUAAUUUGCUUGGAAGGAAUCUUAUCAUUGACUAUGCAUAUCAAGUUCGUAGCUAAGUGGUAAGUGGAAUUAUCUGGUUCAGCUUAAGACUUCACGCAGAUAAAUAGUAUCAUUUGAAACAAUUUGAACGAUGUCUGGAUCAAUUUCUGCAGACAUGGGCCCCUACUAGCAGAAUAGUCAUGAACAAGUCUAAUCAGUAUCAGGAGUAUUACAUCUCUUUACCACGUUUGCUGUAAGUGUCUGGUUAACUUAUUAAUAUUAUUAUAUUUCUAAAAAGCCAACAACUAAAUAUAAUAGUUUAGUAAACAGAAAGUAAUACAAAAGGAACAGAGGGACCUGCCCGUGAGGUCUAACAUUUGCAGCCUUUUUAUAUAAAAUACUAUGCUAAAUGGUUUAUAAGCUUAUAAUUUAAAGGUUUUGACGUGGACUUGAGACAAGAGAGAGCAGGGGGAGAUUUGGUUUUUAGAACAUCUGCAGACACUGCUAAGAUAUACAGCAGGAAAUACUCUUGACCUCAUCUUCAUCAAUCUCCAAUCUCUCCACUGUUCCAUUUCCUUUAUCUGACCACCAUCUGCUGACCUUUGACAUCAGCAUACCCCAUACCCAAAUAUUACCACCCUCAACUCUCCAAUAUUGCAGAAACCUCCACUGCCUUGAUCUCCAGCAUUUCUCCACCAAACUCCAAACUCUGCAACCUCACUCCACAACUCCACUCUCUUCUCUCAACUAGACAUCAUGGCACCUCCUACAUUUAGAUGCAGCAAGCAUUCCCAAUUACAACCCUGGCACACCAAGCUGACCCGAUAUCUCCUAAAAUGUUCAAGAACAGCUGAACGCUGUUGGAGAAAGUCUCACUCUGCACCUGACUUCCUCCACUAUAAAUGUAUGCUGUGCUCCUACACUCUGGCUCUUCACUCUAAAAAAGAGGGUGCGACUGCAGCACCAUUUUGUGCGGGUGUCCUCGUCCAUGAGGGCUGACCUGGGAGUUUGGGACACGUUCCUGGAGCACUUCAAUGGCACAUGUUCUUUCGAUGGGAGGUGGCAGCUGAGCUGGAGCUGUAUACAGAUACCUCGGGCAUCGUGGGAUUAGGGGCGUACUUUGUGGGCGGUGGUGUGUGGUGCCCUGGUCAGCAGCCUGGCUGGAUAGAACGCUGGUGCGGAGUCUGGCUUUCCUGGAACUGUUAUGUUGGUGGUCGCCUUGUCACUUUGGUGUGCACUCCUGAGCGAUAGAAAGAUGAUGUUCUAUACUGAUAAUAUGGCAAUGAUGCUAAUAAUAUGUCGGGCACUUCGGUGCCAGUGGAGUGCAUGUGGAAGUUUGUUUUGCUCUGCAUGUCCCUAAAUGUGGU